rnacentral:piRNA from 1 species
UACAAAUGUCAUACGAUCCAAGAUGGAAUGU